GGGGUUGUGGCUCAGUGGUAGAGUGCUUGCCUGGCAUGUGUGAAGCCCUGGGUUCCAUUCUCAGCACCUCA
rnacentral:tRNA from 1 species